rnacentral:ncRNA from 10 species
AUAGAGCAUUAAGAGCAGGGUUAAAUCCCUCUCCAACCUGCCAACUCCGGCAAGGUGGAAAAAAUGAUGCGGUUAACCAACAAACAUAGGAGUACAA